rnacentral:rRNA from 1 species
CCCUUAGAUGUUCUGGGCCGCACGCGCGCUACACUGAAUGGAUCAACGUGUUUUCCCUUCCCGAGAGGGACGGGUAACCCGCUGAACCCCAUUCGUGGUAGGGAUCGGAGCUUGCAAUUGUUCUCCGUGAACCAGGAAUUCCCAGUAAGCGCAAGUCAUAAGCUUGCGUUGAUUACGUCCCUGCCCUUUGUACACACCGCCCGUCGCUACUACCGAUUGAAUGGUUUAGUGAGAUCCUUGGAUUGGUCCCGGGAUGGUGGGAAACUGCCGCUCCGGUGUGCUGAGAAGACGAUCAAACUUGAUCAUUUAGAGGAAGUAAAAGUCGUAACA